GCCGCCGCGGCCACCGCCCACUCGGGGCUGGCCAGCGGCGGGCGGCCGGGGCGCAGAGAACGGCCUGGCUAGGCGAGCGCACGGCCAUGGCCCCGUGGCUGCAGCUCUGCUCCGUCUUCUUUACGGUCAACGCCUGCCUCAACGGCUCGCAGCUGGCUGUGGCCGCUGGCGGGUCCGGCCGCGCGCGGGGCGCCGACACCUGUGGCUGGAGGGUAAGGCGAGGGCGGCGGGUUUCUUGCAGUCGCCAACUCGCGGGGGACGCAGCGCGCACAGGUGCUCGCGGGGAGGCGAGCCCGCGCCAACCUGUCUGCUCUUCGCGGGGUCCGCGGCCGGCCUGGGUCUCACUCCUCCCGCGCAUCCUCCUGGUUUCCCUCCCCGGGCGCGUGUCCUCCGGCCCUGGCCGAGAUGAAAGCGGCUGCCCGACCCCGGCUUUGUGUUGCUAAUGAGGGAGUGGGGCCGGCCAGCAGAAACAGUGGGCUGUACAACAUCACCUUCAAAUAUGACAAUUGUACCACCUACUUGAAUCCAGUGGGGAAGCACGUGAUUGCUGACGCCCAGAAUAUCACCAUCAGCCAGUAUGCU
rnacentral:sRNA from 1 species